rnacentral:rRNA from 1 species
AUUGAACGCUGGCGGCAGGCCUAACACAUGCAAGUCGGACGGUAGCACAGGGGAGCUUGCUCCCCGGGUGACGAGUGGCGGACGGGUGAGUAAUGUCUGGGAAACUGCCUGAUGGAGGGGGAUAACUACUGGAAACGGUAGCUAAUACCGCAUAACGUCGCAAGAUCAAAGAGGGGGACCUUCGGGCCUCUUGCCAUCAGAUGUGCCCAGAUGGGAUUAGCUAGUAGGUGGGGUAACGGCUCACCUAGGCGACGAUCCCUAGCUGGUCUGAGAGGAUGACCAGCCACACUGGAACUGAGACACGGUCCAGACUCCUACGGGAGGCAGCAGUGGGGAAUAUUGCACAAUGGGCGCAAGCCUGAUGCAGCCAUGCCGCGUGUAUGAAGAAGGCCUUCGGGUUGUAAAGUACUUUCAGCGGGGAGGAAGGUGUUGUGGUUAAUAACCACAGCAAUUGACGUUACCCGCAGAAGAAGCACCGGCUAACUCCGUGCCAGCCGCCGCAGUAACAC